rnacentral:SRP_RNA from 1 species
GCCGGGCGUGGUGAUGCACACCUGUAAUCCCAGCUACUUGGGAGGCUGAGGCAGGAGAAUCGCUUGAACCCAGGAGGCGGGGUUGCAGUGAGCCAAGAUCACACCACUGCCCCCUGGCCUGGGUGACAGAGCAAGACUCUGCCUCAA